rnacentral:lncRNA from 1 species
GUUUUUUUAAAAAGAAGAAAACAGAGAUAUGCACAAAGAUUUUUGUACAAGGAUUUUUACCAUAGCAUUAUUAACAUAAGCAAAGAAGAAAACAAGUGAGUCCCCAAGCAACUUAGCCAGACACUGUCUCAAAACAAAAAAGUUUUUUUAAAAAGAGGUGGGGGAUAUGUCCCAGUGGUUAAGUACCCUGGGUUCAAUCCAGAGUACCAAAAAGAAAAAGAAAAAAGAAAAAAAAUUAAUCUAAAUAUUUAAUAAUAGAGAUUCAGUUAUGAAGCUGUAGCAUUCAAAAUAAAAAGCAAUACCUUGAUAAUAUAAUAAAAUAUGCUAAAUAUAUAGAUUCUUCAAAAUUCAACUAUAUAUAUAUGAUUUUAAUUUUUUGAAUUGUCCAAGGUUUUUAUAAAAUAAAUGCCUUUCAUUGUGUUUGUGUGUAUGUGUUUAAUUUUAAAAGAGUUCCUGUUAUCAAAUCCUCAAAACCAAAGGAAGAAAAGCUCGUUGAAAAUAUAUGAAAAUUUUGGAGAUAAUAAAUGUUUAAUACAUUACCUUUAAAUAUUUAUUCAUGAGGAAAAUGUAACUGAUACUCUUUUUUUCUUCUCUCUUAUUAAGAAUUUUCACACUUAUGUUCAUCAAGGAUAUUGGUCUGAAGUUUUCUUUCUUUGAUGUGUCUUUGGUUUUGGUAUCAGGGUGAUACUAGAAUGUGUUUGGAAGAGUUCCCUCCUUUUCUACUUUGUGAAAUAAUUUGAGGAGGAUUUAUACAAAUUUUUCUUUAAAGGUUUGAUAGAACUCUGCUGAGAAUCCAUCCAGUCCUGAGCUUUUCUUUGUUUGUAAGCUUUUGAUGGCUGCUAUAAUUUCCUUACUUGAAAUUGUUCUGUUUAAACUUUCUAUGUCCUUUUCUACUUUCUGGCACAGUUCCUAAUGUUUCAGUUGUUUGACGGGUAUCCGCUCUGCUAACAUUUUUCACUAUGCCACAAGCUAUUUCCAGACACAGGUGUUGUUUUUAACCAAGUGAUUAUUUUUUGUUAUAAAC